GGGGAAUAUUGCACAAUGGGCGCAAGCCUGAUGCAGCCAUGCCGCGUGUAUGAAGAAGGCCUUCGGGUUGUAAAGUACUUUCAGCGGGGAGGAAGGCGUUGUGGUUAAUAACCACAGCGAUUGACGUUACCCGCAGAAGAAGCACCGGCUAACUCCGUGCCAGCAGCCGCGGUAAUACGGAGGGUGCAAGCGUUAAUCGGAAUUACUGGGCGUAAAGCGCACGCAGGCGGUCUGUUAAGUCAGAUGUGAAAUCCCCGGGCUCAACCUGGGAACUGCAUUUGAAACUGGCAGGCUUGAGUCUCGUAGAGGGGGGUAGAAUUCCAGGUGUAGCGGUGAAAUGCGUAGAGAUCUGGAGGAAUACCGGUGGCGAAGGCGGCCCCCUGGACGAAGACUGACGCUCAGGUGCGAAAGCGUGGGGAGCAAAC
rnacentral:rRNA from 1 species